UACAGAGGUCUUAAGCGUUGUUCGGAUUCAUUGGGCGUAAAGGGUGCGUAGGCGGCGCGGUAAGUCGGGUGUGAAAUCUCGGAGCUUAACUCCGAAACUGCAUUCGAUACUGCCGUGCUUGAGGACUGGAGAGGAGACUGGAAUUUACGGUGUAGCGGUGGAAUGCGUAGAGAUCCGGAAGAACACCGGUGGCGAAGGCGGCCUGCUGGGCAGUUUAGCUGACACUGAGGCGCGACAGCGUGGGGAGCAAACAGG
rnacentral:rRNA from 1 species